rnacentral:rRNA from 1 species
ACGAACGCUGGCGGCGUGCCUAAUCCCUGCAAGUAGAACGCUGAAGGAGGAGCUUGCUUCUCUGGAUGAGUUGCGAACGGGUGAGUAACGCGUAGGUAACCUGCCUGGUAGCGGGGGAUAACUAUUGGAAACGAUAGCUAAUACCGCAUAAUAGUAGAUGUUGCAUGACAUUUGCUUAAAAGGUGCAAUUGCAUCACUACCAGAUGGACCUGCGUUGUAUUAGCUAGUUGGUGGGGUAACGGCUCACCAAGGCGACGAUACAUAGCCGACCUGAGAGGGUGAUCGGCCACACUGGGACUGAGACACGGCCCAGACUCCUACGGGAGGCAGCAGUAGGGAAUCUUCGGCAAUGGACGGAAGUCUGACCGAGCAACGCCGCGUGAGUGAAGAAGGUUGUCGGAUCGUAAAGCUCGGUUGUAAGAGAAGAACGAGUGUGAGAGUGGAAAGUUCACACUGUGACGGUAGCUUACCAGAAAGGGACGGCUAACUACGUG